rnacentral:rRNA from 1 species
UGAGGAAUAUUGGUCAAUGGGCGGAAGCCUGAACCAGCCAAGUCGCGUGAGGGAAUAAGGCCCUACGGGUCGUAAACCUCUUUUGCCGGGGAGCAAUGGGCGGCCUGCGGGCUGCCAGGGAGAGUACCCGGAGAAAAAGCAUCGGCUAACUCCGUGCCAGCAGCCGCGGUAAUACGGAGGAUGCGAGCGUUAUCCGGAUUUAUUGGGUUUAAAGGGUGCGUAGGCGGGCUGGUCAGCCAGCGGUCAAAUGUCGGGGCUCAACCCCGGCCUGCCGUUGGAACUGCCGGCCUUGAGUGGGCGAGAAGCAGGCGGAAUGCGUGGUGUAGCGGUGAAAUGCAUAGAUAUCACGCAGAACCCCGAUUGCGAAGGCAGCCUGCCGGCGCUCAACUGACGCUGAGGCACGAAAGUGCGGGGAUCGAACAGG